CAGAUGGAGUGGAUUUCCAGACGGCUUCUAAUCCAGACAACAUCCAUGGGAAAGAACGCUGCCUUCGAACUUCCAGAGCUGUCCAGUAAUCCUGCCCAAAUGAUUCCAUAGGCAGAAGGUGAGGAUUCCUAGGGAGAAGAACUGUUAUUCUUUCCAUGGUUUCUCACCAGGACCUGAAAGAAGCCAUCACUUAAAGGAUGAGACCCCAGGAAUACAAUGACUCUCCAUGAAUGAAAAAGGACACUGGCAUGAAGGUGAUCACCACAGAAGAACAGCAGCUGUGAAACCAUAUCAAAUACUACAAAGGUUGAGAAAAUUCUGCCUCAGCAACCUCGGGCCCAGGCAAAGAAUGACCAGAAGGCGCUAAAUGAUUUGCAAAAAUAAGAUACUUAAGAAUGAUGGUUCAUACAGACAUUGAGG
rnacentral:lncRNA from 1 species